rnacentral:rRNA from 1 species
CACAAGGUUGAUAGGUCAGAGGUGUAAGUGUGGUAACAUAUUUAGCUGACUGAUACUAAUAGGUCGAGGGCUUGACCAA